GGAUGUAGGACAGAAAUUGUUGAUGCGCGAUCUAAAGGUUCAUACUGCGUUGAAGCUGCUUCAGUUGCCAGAUCAGCCCAUCUGUAACAUUAUCGGAUCAAGGGCUCCAGAAUAGAAGAAUGGAAAAUAACUUGCUUCUUUGUAUGAACUGUUUUGAGCACAAUUAGGUUCUUUUUUUUGGUUUGUUUUUCAUACCUGAGUGAUUCAGGCGUUACUUGUCCUACUGGUAGGAUGAAUUGUAGCCAGAGACACCUAUUUUACCUCAGAAAGGAAUGUUUAAUUUUGAGCAGGCAGAUGCUACAGCUAGAUGCACUUGCAAAGGUUCCCAAGUAUGGUCUUGUAGUAUUCAC
rnacentral:lncRNA from 1 species